rnacentral:rRNA from 1 species
GAUGAACGCUGGCGGCGUGCCUAAUACAUGCAAGUCGAGCGAACAGACGAGGAGCUUGCUCCUCUGACGUUAGCGGCGGACGGGUGAGUAACACGUGGAUAACCUACCUAUAAGACUGGGAUAACUUCGGGAAACCGGAGCUAAUACCGGAUAAUAUAUUGAACCGCAUGGUUCAAUAGUGAAAGACGGUUUUGCUGUCACUUAUCGAUGGAUCCGCGCCGCAUUAGCUAGUUGGUAAGGUAACGGCUUACCAAGGCAACGAUGCGUAGCCGACCUGAGAGGGUGGUCGGCCACACUGGAAGUGAGACACGGUCCAGACUCCUACGGGAGGCAGCAGUAGGGAAUCUUCCGCAAUGGGCGAAAGCCUGACGGAGCAACGCCGCGGGAGUGAUGAAGGUCUUCGGAUCGUAAAACUCUGUUAUUAGGGAAGAACAAAUGUGUAAGUAACUAUGCACGUCUUGACGGUACCUAAUCAGAAAGCCACGGCUAACUACGUG